rnacentral:lncRNA from 1 species
AUGCGGUUAAAGCUGUUUCUUGCCAACGUCCUCCAAAGGCAAAGCCUGGAGUAUCUGGGAAAAUGCCAUAAAUCUUGGAAAAGACCUAAUUGCACUACUGUGUUGAGGCAAGAUUUCUCUCCACCCUUCUGGAUGAGGUGCACAAACACAAGGAGAAAGGUUUCUCUGGUCUUCCAAGAAAGCCCUAGCUUCCUCUCUCCCUCUGGGAAUGGAGCUGACCUCCUUCUGCCCUUGUCCCUGUGAACAGUGUGUUAUUUCCAGCAGCAAAGAGUUAUGGAGCAAGAAAAUUUAAAUUUUCCUCUACUUGUGGGAGGGGGGUUUGAAGCCCCUCAGGACACUGCAUAGAGCCCAGAGUGGGGCUUCUGUGCCCUCAGUGACUGCCUGGGCUCAUGGGCACGGCCAGACACUGGUCACUGCCUCUUUCCUGUCAAAGAACUCACCUUUGCUCUCUUUUAGUUGUAUUAUCCACAAAACAAAGCAAAACUCAGGGGUCUUCAGGGUGAAGAAUCCUCCAUGCUGUAUAAAACAGUGAGGCAAAGCAGGAACUGACGAGGCACAAUGUUCCUGCAGUUCCCCUCUGGCUGAGGGAGUUGCUUGCCAUGCAGGAAGCUGUGGGAGGCAGAGCUCAUUCUCCCCCAUCCCACAGCAGUCAUCUUCACACCUUCACAUCUACCCCAAACAUCAACACUGCCACAUUCAGCUCCAAAACCUUCAAAAGGCUUUUUUGGAUCUCAGCUCUUAUAGGCAGUCCUCACAAGUCCUCCAAUCUGUCCUAAUCCCAAAGAUUUUUGUUCUGGCUCCAGCCACCUGCUGCCAGCCAUGUCCUGGAGCAUGGCCUGGUCACCACAAUCUGACCUUGCGGGAAAUGUCCCUGAGGUGCCACACAUGCUCUCCCACUUGCCAAAUUCCUCAGCUGAUGAGAUUGCUUCCAGAUUUCAGCACUUACUGGCAAGCUUCAAGUAGUUUGCCCAGAAAAGCUCCCAGUGAUUAAAGAUCUCUGGGAGCUGUGUUGUGGCCACUGCCUGGUUACUGACCUACACAAGCAGAGCAACAUGGGAACCAGUGACCUGGGAAAACAAACUUCUCUGCUCCCUGUCUUCUAAUAUUUAGCUUUGCUUUUGAGAUGAAAGAAGAACUUAUUCCUAUUUGUAUCCAAUCUCAUUGCCCAAUUUAGGAUGUUUUUAUCAUUUACUGAGAAAAACAGGCUUUCUAUUAUGAUUUAUUGGACUUGAACAUAGCUUGCAUUCCAGCUCAGGAGCAAAUAGAAGCUGAUUCACUGUUACCAACACACUGAAAACAUUUGUUAUCUCUGUCUUAAAGGUAACAAAUCUGCAUCAGCAAGUGGGUGUGAACCACAGAAUUGUUUGGGUUGGAAGGAACCUUAAAGGUCAUGUCACUCCAACCUUUUGCCAUGGGCAGGGACACCUUCCCCUAGACCAGGCUGCUCAGAGCCCCAUCCAGCCUGGCCUUGAGCAUUUCCAGGGAUGGGGCAGCCACAGCUUCUCUGGACAGCCUGGUCCAGUGUCUCACCACCUUCACAGGGAAAUUCUCCCUUACAUUUAAUGUAAAUCUCCCUUGGUUUAAAACUGUGCCCUCUUAUCCCACCUCUAUUUGCCCAUGUAAAACAACAUUCUCCCUUAUUUAUACUCCCUGUUAAGUAUUGGAAGACAGCUGUAAGGUCUCCCCAAAGCUACCUCCUCUCCAGACUCACAGUCCCAGCUCUCUCAGCCUGUCUUCACAAGACACACAAGCACAUCUGUACAAGCAGGGUAGAACCCAGAGCUUAUGUAUGCCCUGCUUGCCAAAGCACAUGGGACCAGAUGAGGAUCACUGCUUCCUCUUUCUGGCUGAGUAACUCCAAGUUCUCCUAAUUACAGCUUUCAAAAAUCCUCUUCCCCAGAUUUCAUAUCUUCAUACACUCACCAGUGCAUAUUCAGUCAAGCUUAUACCCUUUAGUUUUCCAGACAGAUGGAUCACUAUUAUUAAAGGACAUAAAGAAAGGGAGAAAAUUUAGAAGUUACUUUUUCUCCUCUCAUUCCUCCCGUGUUUUCACAGCAUUGGGAUAUCCUGGCACCCUGAAGUGCAGCAGACAGCUAAGAGAAGGGAUGGUUCCCCUCUUCUGGCCUUUCAGUCACGAUCUCCUCUCUACAAAGUCAUGUCUGCUGCUCAUUCUUUGGGGUCCUUUAUACCAAAAACGACUCUCAUUUGUCUGUUGCAAUACUGCAGCCCUUUUCCACAGCGUUUGGUGGUAGGGGGCUCACACUUUCUCAAAAAGCACUGUACUGUGAGAUGGGAAAUGUAGCAUAGAUGCUCUUCACUGCAGGACUGUGAACACAUCUUGGGGAUCCCUCAACAACAGUCUGCACCAGUACAGAUCUAACCUGGAAGUAAAAGCCAUUUUAUACAAUGUUUGUGCUUUCCCAUUUGUUUGCUAAAAUGUACCCAACUGAGUCUCUCACGAUUCUUUUGCUGAAAUGACGUUUUUGACAACUACAAAGCAGGUGCUAAGACCGGAGAAAGACACAAAGGAAAUCUUUUACAGAGAUUUGCAAAGUGAAACUGGACACCUGCUGAGUUAACGCAUUUGUUAAGCUUCAGUGCAAUUGGCAGGACAUGUGACACGGUUCUAAGGGGCUGAGGCAGAACAAAGACAAUCAAGAGACUCUACAGAGGAUCUUUCACAAUCUUAAAUCAACAUGUCCCACUAUCUGAUCUGAUCCCUUUCAGUGCAGCCCCACUGGAAGUGGCCCUCCUCUGCUCUGGCACUCCCACUGGCGCAGAGCUACCAGUGAGAAUAAUCAGGCACUGAGAUCUGUUAGAAAACAUGCCUAGAUGGCAUGUAAAAAGUAGAGCUUUAACUACUUGUGUGCAGUGCAUCCUGAUUAAAACAGAAUAUAUAAAUGAGUCUGAUUUCUGAGGAGUGGCAAACAGCCCCGGGCCACAUGAUUUUAACAGCCAUCAGAGUCAAAAAUUAACUCCCCUUGGUAACACAACCACAUAAUAGGGCAUUCAGAAUAUUUCUUUGCAAUUUCUUUUAUUAAAUAUCCUCUUUGAUACAGAAUAUUUAAGAAAAAAUAGUUUACAAUCUCUGUUUUGGUAAUUCUUACAGGAGUCUUUUGUGUAGUCACUCCUACAGCAGUUCAUGUUGGCAUUUAAGGAAUAAAUCUUUAGCAAAAGUCUCUCA